rnacentral:rRNA from 1 species
ACUCAAAUGAAUAGACGGGGACUUGCACAAGCGGUGGAUCAUGCGGCUCAAUUCGAUGGCAAACGAAGAACCUCACCAGGAUUUGAAACCCUAACGUAAUCCUUAGGAAACUUUGGACCCCGCAAGGCGGUAGGGCAGGUGAUGCAUGGUCGUCGUCAGUUCGUGGCUUGAGUUGUUCCCUUCAGUGGGGUAACGAACGCAACCCUCGUUGCCUGUUUUCUAUGUCAGGCGAGACUGCCCCCUCACGGGGGAGGAAGGUGAGGAUGACGCCAGAUCAGCAUGUCCCUCUGAUAUCCUGGGCUGCACGCAUGAUACAAUGGCACCGACAACAGGUUGCGACGGAGUAAUCCUGAGCUAAUCCUUAUAAACGGUGCCCCAGUUCGGAUUGAGGUCUGCAACUCGACCUCAUGAAGCCGGAAUCGCUAGUAAUCGCGGGUCAGCUAUACCGCGGUGAAUACGUUCUCAAGUCUUGUACACACCGCCCGU